AGUUCGGACUGUAGUCUGNAACCCGACUACACGAAGCUGGAAUCGCUAGUAAUCGCGGAUCAGAAUGCCGCGGUGAAUACGUUCCCGGGUCUUGUACACACCGCCCGUCACACCAUGGGAGUCAGUAACGCCCGAAGUCAGUGACCUAACCGAAAGGGAGGAGCUGCCGAAGGCGGGACGGAUGACUGGGGUGAAGUCGUAACAAGGUAAC
rnacentral:rRNA from 1 species